rnacentral:lncRNA from 1 species
GGAGGAGUUAACUGUUCCUGCAUUUGUGGAGUUAAGGAAAGAAAGGGGUCAGCUGAGAAGAGGCCAGAAUCAGGGAACACCUGUGAAGUAGGGUUUAGGAGACGAGUUUAUUACCUGAUUGCUGGCUGCAACAUUGAUGGCUUGAGCCAAGAUCUUGGACCCUUGAACUCUUGUGCUCUGGAAUUUGGACUGGUCUUGGAUGCUGUGAAGAAAAACCAAGAUCAGGACCAUUUUUGGACUGGACAAUUAUAUUUCCUGGAAUUGUUUUCAAUAAAAGAGAAAAAAUAUGAUGGGUACCCAUCUCUGGUGCCAACCCUGCAAAUCAAGAUGUUAACCCCUGCAAGAAAAUUCAGCAUAGCUAAAGAAAGGAGAAAGCAUGAACGAAGAUCGAGCAAUUGCCAGGCAUUUGUAUGCAGUUCAUAAUUUGACUUUUGACUAUCCAAAAGUAGCACAUUACCUUUGCCAAUUUGCUAAUUAAGAUGAGCUUUGCUACUGUUCAGCAACCCAUUUUGGUGGUUAUUCUUUUCCUUUCUUUUCCAAUUUUCCCCUCCCCAAAGACUUGGUUAGCAUCUUGCUUGAUGCAAGACAAACAAAGAUGCUGUCAAUAUUCAUUUUAAUUAAGCCAAUGGCAUUAGCUGCUUAUGACUUCAUUCUCCUCAGUCCCAGUGGGCAAUCUGAAAGGCAAUUCUCACUGUUA